GUUCAGGAUCGCGAUCCUGAUGGCUGGAAACAGGGCUUUCAUUCGGAUCAAUUGGGGAUUGAUUUGGGAUUCAACAAGGAGAUUUUGGGGAGUUUAAGGAAAUGUAAGAUUUGGAUUGAUUGGUGCUGGGCUACGAUCAUCAUCAAGACGGAAUCGUCUAACUAUAAAGGUUGUACUUUGGAUUGCGAUUUUUCAAUACUUUUCUUAUUUAUUGUGGAGAUUGUACGAAAUACUCAAAGAUUUGGUGUUAUCGGGGCAUGGAGGUUAUGGUAUUUUUGGGACUACAGAUCGGAAAGUAUCAAUUUAUAGAGAUAUGGUUUUAUUGGGAAAUAUCUUAUGAGGGAAGAUACGGACAAUUGGGGUCAAUAUAAG
rnacentral:lncRNA from 1 species